CCGGUGAACAGGUGCUGCAUGGCUGUCGUCAGCUCGUGCUGUGAAGUGUUGGUUAAGUCCCGCAACGAGCGCAACCCCCUGCCGUCUGUUGCCACCACGAAAGGUGGGGACUCAGGCGGGACCGCCGGUGACAAACCGGAGGAAGGUGGGGACGACGGUCAAGUCAUCAUGGCCCUUAUGUCCCUGGGCCACGACACGUGCUACAAUGGCCGGUACAGAGUGCAGCGAGGCCGCGAGGCGGAGCGAAUCGACUUAAAGCCGGUCCCAGUACGGAUUGGAGUCUGCAACCCGACUCUAUGAAGUUGGAAUCGCUAGUAAUCGCGCAUCAGCAUGGCGCGGUGAAUACGUUCCCGGGCCUU
rnacentral:rRNA from 1 species